UACGUAGGGUGCGAGCGUUGUCCGGAAUUAUUGGGCGUAAAGGGCUCGUAGGCGGUUUGUCGCGUCGGGAGUGAAAACCAUGGGCUUAACUCAUGGCUUGCUUUCGAUACGGGCAGACUAGAGGUAUGCAGGGGAGAACGGAAUUCCUGGUGUAGCGGUGAAAUGCGCAGAUAUCAGGAGGAACACCGGUGGCGAAGGCGGUUCUCUGGGCAUGAUCUGACGCUGAGGAGCGAAAGUGUGGGGAGCGAACAGG
rnacentral:rRNA from 1 species